rnacentral:rRNA from 1 species
AACGAACGCUGGCGGCGUGCUUAGCACAUGCAAGUCGAGCGGUAAGGCCCUUUCGGGGGUACACGAGCGGCGAACGGGUGAGUAACACGUGGGUGACCUGCCUUUAGCUCUGGGAUAAGCCUGGGAAACUGGGUCUAAUACCGGAUACGACUCCGCGGUGCAUGCUGUGGGGUGGAAAGCCUUGUGCGGCUGGAGAUGGGCCCGCGGCCUAUCAGCUUGUUGGUGGGGUGAUGGCCACCAAGGCGACGACGGGUAGCCGGCCUGAGAGGGCGACCGGCCACACUGGGACUGAGACACGGCCCAGACUCCUACGGGAGGCAGCAGUGGGGAAUCUUGCGCAAUGCGCGAAAGCGUGACGCAGCAACGCCGCGUGGGGAAGACGGCCUC